rnacentral:rRNA from 1 species
AAUAGAUACCCUGGUAGUCCCAGCUGUAAACGAUGCAGACUCGGUGAUGAAUUGGCUUAUUGCUAAUUCAGUGCCGCAGGGAAGCCGUUAAGUUUGCCGCCUGGGGAGUACGGUCGCAGGACUGAAACUUAAAGGAAUUGGCGGGGGAGCACCACAAGGGGGUGAAGCCUGCGGUUCAAUUGGAGUCAACGCCGGAAAUCUUACCGGGGGCGACAGCAGAGUGAAGGUCAAGCUGAAGACUUUACCAGACAAGCUGAGAGGAGGUGCAUGGCCGUCGCCAGCUCGUGCCGUGAGGUGUCCUGUUAAGUCAGGUAACGAGCGAGAUCCCUGCCUCUAGUUGCUACCAUUAUUCUCAGGAGUAGUGGAGCUAAUUAGAGGGACCGCCGUCGCUGAGACGGAGGAAGGUGGGGGCUACGGCAGGUCAGUAUGCCCCGAAACCCUCGGGCCACACGCGGGCUGCAAUGGUAAGGACAAUGAGUUUCGAUUCCGAAAGGAGGAGGCAAUCUCUAAACCUUACCACAGUUAUGAUUGAGGG